rnacentral:rRNA from 1 species
UACGUAGGUGGCAAGCGUUGUCCGGAAUUAUUGGGCGUAAAGCGCGCGCAGGUGGUUCCUUAAGUCUGAUGUGAAAGCCCACGGCUCAACCGUGGAGGGUCAUUGGAAACUGGGGAACUUGAGUGCAGAAGAGGAAAGUGGAAUUCCAAGUGUAGCGGUGAAAUGCGUAGAGAUUUGGAGGAACACCAGUGGCGAAGGCGACUUUCUGGUCUGUAACUGACACUGAGGCGCGAAAGCGUGGGGAGCAAACAGGAUUAGAAA